ACAUGCAAGACAACAUCUUUCAGAAAACUUAGGACUGUGUUGGUGUCAAAUAAAGGUUCUGGACCGAGUAGCAUUACGGGAUGUAGGGGGAUGUGCUGCCGGUAUGCUAGGGAAAAAUGUUUUCUUCUUUCAGAUUCGGCUGCCCGACACUCCAGGAGGACGUGGAGGACGAAGGCACGCACCAGAGGAAAAAAGGAACUGUUCAACAAGUCGACCUCGCGCAUCUAUACGAGAGUCGCCCCACAGGGAGCUGUGCGCAUUGAAAUCGCCAAGUAGAACGUAAGGUUCUGGCAAUUGAUCAAUAAAGGAUUGGAAUUCA
rnacentral:lncRNA from 1 species